rnacentral:rRNA from 1 species
AGUGAACGCUGGCGGUAGGCCUAACACAUGCAAGUCGAACGGCAGCACAGUAAGAGCUUGCUCUUACGGGUGGCGAGUGGCGGACGGGUGAGGAAUACAUCGGAAUCUACUUUUUCGUGGGGGAUAACGUAGGGAAACUUACGCUAAUACCGCAUACGACCUACGGGUGAAAGCAGGGGAUCUUCGGACCUUGCGCGAUUGAAUGAGCCGAUGUCGGAUUAGCUAGUUGGCGGGGUAAAGGCCCACCAAGGCGACGAUCCGUAGCUGGUCUGAGAGGAUGAUCCGCCACACUGGAACUGAGACACGGUCCAGACUCCUACGGGAGGCAGCGGUAGGGAAUAUUGGACAAUGGGCGCAAGCCUGAUCCAGCCAUACCGCGUGGGUGAAGAAGGCCUUCGGGUUGUAAAGCCCUUUUGUUGGGAAAGAAAAGCAGCAGGUUAAUACCCCGCUGUUCUGACGGUACCCAAAGAAUAAGCACCGGCUAACUUCGUG